ACAACGUCUGGCUCUACAUGAUUUCCCUUUUCUUCUUCUUCUUUUUUUUUUUUCUAUCGGUUAGCAUGAGGCCAGUUCCAUAAAAGCUGUCGUGUCCUAACGUUGAGCAGACUUUCGAGGGGUAACGCCGCUUGUGAGAAGAAGACUUUAGGAAAAAUCUUUACUGGUACAGCACCGCAAGAGAUAUACUGCCCCGACGACCUUUUUAGAACACUUGGCCAAAGAAAACAGGUGACUGUCUCAGCGGAGCCGGAAACCCCUUAGGUGAGACAGCAUAAUCAUUGUAACCCACUAUUCAAAGCAGACAAAUGCCUGUGCACUCUCUUUCCAGAUUCCUCUUUAAUGCAGUGUCUUGCACACCAUUCGGGCUCUGUAUAUUGUUCACAGGUUUCUUUUUACCUUUUUUGUCAUUUGAUUUACAGUUUGCUUUAUCAAGUGCACAAAUAUGAUAUUGAGGGGGAUAUUUUCUUGUUUACACUCGUUAUCUUAUAAUCAUUGCUCAGUUAGAUUACAUCAUGUGCAUUAACCGGAACUGGCCCAUGUGUAUGGCAGCUGAAGUCUUUCACCAGGGUAACAUGCCAGGACAACUCCAGCAAGUGCUUUGCAGGUCACCUCUGAAUUAAAGGAACCUACCUAUUCCAGCUGUUUGAGCCUAAUGCCCUCGUCCUUGACACACAUACAAGUGUGCCCACACCCUCGGAGGAGCCUGCAUAGCGAGGACUCUGUCCCAGUGGCAAAUGGAACAGUUCUUUCACAAAGAAAGCAGAUUUCCACCAGAAGACCAACAAGCAGUUUACUUGAAAUAGUACCAAUUACUUCUCGUUUUUCUAAUUGCAAAAUAUUGGGCAUGCUACGUCAGUAUUGUUUUUUUUUUCCUUAUUUCCAGUUACCUCAACUGGUGACUUCAAGCUUACGUAACACAAUAAUAUAAGAGAGCAUGAAGCGGACGAACUGGUGUCGUGAGAUUGUGUCCCCCAGUCUUAGGGAUGUAUUAGACAGUAUUGGAAACCUGGUUGAACAAUAAAUUGGUUAAACGACAAACA